CAAGACAUGCAGAAAUUACUCUCACAGGCAAUAAGCUAACCAGGUUCUCUUUUCAACUCAAGAAGUUCAAAGUUAACAUAACAAUCUACUAGUACUACAGAGAGUAAACUUUUAGAAGGCAAGCCUGGCGGAACAUCGCAAAGAUUUAAAGCAGCAGGUGACAAAACAUAUAUAGCUUUCAAAUAUAUCUUGCUGUCAGCAGGGCUUUGGAACAGAAGUCAGGCAGUCCACUGCCCGCCGUAUCCAGCAGCAGCAGCAGGCUGAGGUGACACGCCCUUUGCAACCGCAGGCUGUGGGUUUGCAGCAGGUGCAGCAUAGCCACUUUGAGCUGCUGGUGGCGCAGACUGAUCAU
rnacentral:lncRNA from 1 species